UACGUAGGGGGCAAGCGUUAUCCGGAUUUACUGGGUGUAAAGGGAGCGUAGGUGGCGUGCCAAGUCAGGAGUGAAAACCCAGGGCCCAACACUGGGACUGCUCUUGAAACUGGCAGGCUUGAGUGCUGGAGAGGUAAGCGGAAUUCCUAGUGUAGCGGUGAAAUGCGUAGAUAUUAGGAGGAACACCAGUGGCGAAGGCGGCUUACUGGACAGUGACUGACACUGAGGCUCGAAAGCGUGGGGAGCAAACAGG
rnacentral:rRNA from 1 species